rnacentral:lncRNA from 1 species
CGCUCGCUCGAGCUCGGCGCGGACCCGCCCGGGAGCGCUCCUCGCAGCAGCUGCCCGGGUUCCCACCGCCCUACCGGGCGCGAGCGAUCAGACUACCUCGGAGGGCGCGCUCAGACACCCAGAUGUCCGGCCACCUCAGUGGGUACCCUCGGCACCCUGUGAUCCGACCACCCGCGGAGGCGCGCUAGCCCUCUGGGUGGGCGUGCUGGGCUUCUCUGCGGCGGAAGUCUGGACCACAGAUUGUGACUUCUUUUCUAGCAGUAGGUGUUGACUGGUCCGACUGCUGCCCUUCUGCCCAAGAGUAGUUCAAACUGGCCUCUAACUGAACCUGGAACUCACUGACUGAACUCGAGUUGCUGUUGAGAAAGCCCCAGGGACUGUUUGGUCUUCUCCCGCUCAAAAUUUGCGAUGCAGUGCCUCCUCAGGCCCAUCAAAGUCUUCCAGGAUCACGCAGAGGACCAUGCCACAGUCGGAAGUGAGGUAAACAAGUCUCCUCAUUGCUAUAUUUUGUAAUUAUCAGACAAGAGAGUGGAGUUCCCGCCUGAAGCCCCUCAGGCCUGUGUGAAGCUUAACCAUGUAUGUACUCAAUGUAGGUGUGAUCAGUUUUCAGAUCCAUGCAAAUGUGAGCUGACUUUCCCCUGAUGUUUGCUGAGUGCAUGCCAACAGCAUUCUGCAUGGCUAACCUGCCUCAGCAACCAAAUCCCUGGAACUGUCAUAUGCAGAGGGUCUGUGGUGUGGCCAUUUUAUAAAUGAGCCACGGGAAGGCCAGAGAAAGAAACAGCAUGCUCCAAGUCAGAGCAGAAGGCAGCUUCCCUAGGAUCUGUUUAAUGUUUGCUUCUUUACAACACAGGAUCUCGUGAAACCCAAGCUAGCCUCAGACUCAACUGCAUAGCUGAGGAUACCCUUGAACUUGAUUCUCUAAUAUUUCUACCUCAUACCCAGUUCAUGAGGUAAUGCGGAUAGAACCCAGGGCUUCCUGAAUACUAGGAAGGCACUCUACCAACUGAGCUACAUCCCCAGAUCCUCCUCUGGGGAUAAGCCCAGGUUCAAAUCCAAGGCCUUAACAACAUCGGGACACGGACAUAAGACACAGCACUCUACUGGACCUGGGCAUGCUCCUACCCUGUCUAGUGAUCGCAAAAGCCAUCUUUUUAACAGCCCGCGUUAUGAUUCUACCAUCAGACCAGAGAGGCCCUAGAUAGCCCAGCUUCCCAUUGUAAGUCAUCUUCGACAUGUUUAACCGAUGGCUGUGUGGGACUGCUAGAAAGUUUGGAAAUCACCAAGCGCUUUGACUUUCCUGCCCACAAAAACAGUUGGCCUUGGCAGAUGUCCAACGCGUUGACCUUAGAUCCAUUUAAUGAAAACCCUAUUAAUUCAAAAAGAAAGAAAGAAAAUAAGGCAAAAUAGGACAGGCAGUAGAAAGAUCUUUACAAAAAUCUUGUGUGCCCUUCCUCCACUGUUGCCUUGACCAGACAGGGCCACAAAGCUGAUACGACAGGAUUAGGACAAUUGCUUUGUUAACACACAAGCACAGCGUGACAUGAACUCCAGGAAAGGCAUUUGGCAGGAUUAACCUGCUGAGGAUAAAGAUGUAGCAGACGGGACCUGAAUUAAUGGACUGGUAUGGCCAAAGUGGAGAAAUCUAUUUGCAUGUAAUAUUAACUGUACUAAUAAACUCCAGGCGGGGAUCCAACAGCCCGGGAGCCUCUUUGAACCAGGACUUGAUCCCUGUACAUCCUAUCUCUGCUAAGAUGUGUGAGUGUAAGCCGGCUGCCUGCAGAUUACCACUCUGUCCUUGGUGCCUGCAAUAGCACAAGCCCUUUACUGACUGCAACUCAAGCAGAUCCCACUUACAAUAUUAUUUACAACCUAUGGAAAAGCAAUGAAGAAAUGCAGGUUCAACACAUGUAGAAAAUAUCCACCAGGGCCUGGAGAGAUGGCUCAGUAAUUAAGAGCCCUGGCUAUUCCUCCAGAGGACCCGGGUUCAAUUUGUAGCAUCCAUGGGGCAGCUAAGAGUCAUCUAAAGCCCAUCUGAAGCCCUCUUCUGACAUCUGCAGGCAUGGUGCAUACAUGGUACAUACACACACAUGCAAAACACAUAAAAUAAAAAAAUAUAAAAUUUAAGAAGAAAAUGCCUACCUGACCCAGGCUGUUGGCCUGACUUGUAUAUUCUGAUUCCUUGAAAGUCUGUGUGGGGCUAGGGUGAGCAAGCAGACACCUGGGAUGUGACAUUUCAAGGAGGUACCACAGUCUGGCUCAGUCUCAGAACAAGGUGAGUGCCUAAAGAUUCAUGCAUUGCCCCUCAGACUGCCCUACUGCAGGUUACCAUAGGAACAGUAUAAUCUAUACCCAUUCAAAAUCAAUACACUUACAACAGAUAGCUGGAUGUUGGGCGGUGUGGUGGAGGAGAAGAAUGUAGGUGGGUGGGGACCUCUGAGGGGUCCUAUAAAAUACAUCUCAGAUCAUUGCAAUCAAAGAGCAAGAGAGCCUGGUAUUUAUCUACCAGCUCUUUACUGUAUCUGGCUCAGAGAGUAAUUCCCCACCAUGCAGACUAGACAUUCUCCCCCAAAGAAGCUAGGGAACCUAGAGCAACAGCCUAUGUACAAGAAUGCCUAGGCCAUAUGGAGUGUAAAAAGGUGUGAGUCAGGGUAUGAGUGACACCCACUUAAAGUUCUUGUGUACUUCAACAAAGAACUGGACUAGGAACACUGAAUAAAGAUUG